rnacentral:lncRNA from 1 species
UUUUUUUUUGUGCCGUCCGUCACAAAGUUCAGCUGUGUAGGUAGAUCCAGAGCCGACUGCGUCCCCAUUACAGCUGUGUGGGUAGAUCCAGAGCAAGGGGAGGGUCAGCUCUUGCUUGAUCUGUUUCUCCCCUCCUUGUUGAUCUCUUGCUGCUAUUUUUUACUGUAUAAUUAUAUUACAGUAAAAGUGUUAAAAUAUGUACAUUAGGAAAAAGAAAAAGGAAUAAGAUAAAAUAAAGUAAAGAGAAAAAAAUGGUCAGUGGUCAGAGCUUAGUAUCUAUCCAUGUUCUGAGGGAUGCUGUACGUUUUCUUUUCACUCUGUCCAGCUUUUCCAAACAAAAUCAGAUCAUACUUUUCCAAACAAAUUAGUAUCUGAAAACAAUUAGUAUGUCUAGUUUUUCCAAACAAAAAUCAGAUCAUGCUUUUCCAAACAAAUUAGUACUGGGAGCUGUUACUUUCACGAAACACAAAUGUCCAGCUUUUGCUCAUCCGGUAGUUUUCUGAAAACAGUUAGUUUGGUUUUUGCUGAUUCUGACAUGAAUUUAUUUUAUGCAGAACUGGAUCUAUAAUCUAUUCUCCAGUAGUUCAUCUUGGGCUGCUUUUGCUUGCGGAGGACUCUGCAAAUUGGAUUUGAAGGAGCUGCUAUUCAAGGUACCCUUCUUCUGCUUCUGCUUUGGAAAGAAGCAAUGCAUAUGCGCUAUGUUUACAGUCAUUUUCACCAACCAAUCAGGUUCAGGUUUUCCUCAUUCUGUGUUUUGAAAACCAUCAUGUUUGCAUUGCAGAAUUUCAAGCCAAAGACAAUGCUAUAGCCGUCUGUAGAUCAGAGAGCAAAGACAAAAAAAAAGUCGAGAUAUGGAGGCCGCUGCUGGGGCGUUGAGCCCUGUCCUCCGUAAGCUCGGUGAGCUGCUCGCCGGAGAAUACAACCUGGAGAAGCGAGUGAAGAAAGGUGUACAAUCACUUCGUACAGAACUGGAGAUGAUGCACGCCGUACUUCGUGAGGUUGGCAAGGUGCCGCCGGAUCAGCUCCAGGAGCCGGUCCGGAUUUGGGCUGGCAAGGUGAGAGACCUGUCUUGCGACAUGGAAGACGCUGUUGACGACUUCCUGACGCGUGUGGGUGAGGGUUCAGGCAGCAAGCCAACGGACAUGAGGAGUCGAGUCAAUAAGUUCCUCAAGAAGACCACCACAUUAUUUGGUAAGGGCAAAGCACUUCAUCAAAUCUGUGAUGCCAUCAAAGAAGCUCAGGAUCUUGCCAAGGAGUUGGCUGAGCUGCGUAAAAAGUAUGAGCUUGACAUGUUUAGCUCUACCAACGGUGCUACCAUUGACCCUCGCGUGUUAGCUCUACAAAAAGAUGUAGGGGAGCUUGUUGGACUUGACCGCACAACGGAUGAACUUAUUAAAACACUGAUUUGUGAGGACGGGAGUUCCAAGGAGCACUUGAAGACAAUCUCUAUUGUUGGUGUUGGUGGCCUAGGCAAGACAACCCUCACCAAAGCAGUUUUCGAGAAGAUCAAAGCCCAAUUUGAUUGUGCAGCUUUUGUCCCGGUGGGUCAGAACCCAGAUAUCAGGAAAUUUUUCAAAGACCUACUCUAUGGCCUCGACAAAGAGAAGUUCAAAGACAUUCAUAAUACAACAAGAGAUGAGAAACUACUCAUGGAGGAAAUCAGUGAAUUCCUUCUGGAUUGGAUAAGAGGUAUGCAUCACAUUGUCCUUGUCUUUGUUUUUAUAUUUCGAGAAUGUGUGAAGUAGCCAGAUACUGAAUUUCAUAUCAAUAUCUUUUUUUGUUAUAUGUCUUUAUAUUUGUAGUGGUCCUUUUCUCUGGAAGCAAAUUCUGUUUCUUCCUUUCUUGUGCAUGCACCUUAUCUUAUUUUUACCAGUUAUCUCUGCUGCAUUUCUUUCUACAUGCAUGUCGUUAGUGGUUGAAUAAUUCAUGUGGUUUGCUUAGUACGUUACCAUUAUGUUGUUACAGGAUUCAGUUGUAUAUAAAUUGACUUGCCCACUAAUGAUACAGUAUAACUGGCAUAGGUACCUCGUCGUAAUUGAUGAUAUAUGGGAAGAAGAAAUAUGGAGAUUUAUAAAUUGUGCUUUGUGUAAAAACAAACUCCACAGUCGGGUAAUCACGACAACUCGUAAUGUGAGUGUGUCUGAAGCAUGUCUCUCUUCCAGCGAUGACAUGAUUCACCAAAUGAAACCUCUUUCUGAUGAAGACUCACAGAUACUCUUCCAUAGAAGAAUAUUUCAAAGCGAGGAGAAAUGUCCAGAAGAUUUGCAAGCAGUAUCAAGAGAGAUACUGAAGAAAUGUGGUGGAGUACCAUUAGCCAUCAUUACAAUAGCUAGCCUUCUAGUCAGUAACCAAAGGAUAAAGCAGAAAGAAGAAUGGAUGCAUGUGCACAGUUCGAUGGGCCGUGGAGUUACAGAAGGUGGUAUUGUGAAGGACAUGAAGAGGAUAUUAUCACUCAGCUAUUAUGAUUUGCCAUCCCAUCUAAAGCCUUGUUUAUUAUAUCUAAGCAUCUUUCCUGAAGACUUUGAGAUUAACAGAGAUUUGCUGAUAUGGAGGUGGCUUGCUGAAGGGUUUAUCCAAUGUGACAAAGAUGAAACCAGGCUGUUUGAGAUCGGAAAGAGCUACUUCAACGAGCUUAUGAACAGGAGCUUGAUCCAGCCAGCGGAAACCAAUUAUGAAGGAACAGUAGUAACUUGCCGUAUACAUGAUAUGGUGCUUGACCUUAUAUGCUCGCUGUCAAGUGAGGAGAAUUUUAUCUCCAUAUUGGAUAAUGCUCAGUGGCAUGCACCUAAUCUGCAAAGGAAACUUCGCAGGCUAUCACUUCAUAAUAUCAAGGCAAAGUGUCGGAACCAUCAGUUUGAUAGCACUAGGCUGUCAAAAGUGAGGACCUUUGCUGUUUUUUCUCCUGUUACCUGUGAUUGGUUGCCAUCUCUCUCAAGCUUUCAAUUUUUGCGUGUGCUAGAUCUUGGAAAUUGUGGCAGCCAUGAAAGUAGCUCUGGCAUCAGCCUCAAGUAUGUAGGGAAUUUAAUUCACCUAAGGUACCUAGGGCUCAAGGAUGCAGAUGUUCGCGAACUCCCUGUGGACAUAGGCAAGUUGCAGCUCUUGCAGACACUGGAUAUAGGAGGCACUAUUAUAGAAGAAUUACCUUCAAGUGUUGUUCAGCUCAGAAAUUUGAUAUGCCUACGUGUCAAUUAUAGGGUGAGGCUGCCAAAAGGAAUGGGGAGCUUGAUGUCCCUUGAAGUGCUGGAACAAGUAGGAUUAUCCUCAUCUCCUCACAUUGCGGAAGAGCUGAGCCAUCUGACAGAGGUUAGGACACUCAGUAUUGACUGUGCUAACAUGGACGAGGAUCUGAUUGAUAUAUUAAUCAAGUCUCUAGGCAACCUGCACAAAUUGCAAAAUCUGCGUAUUGAUGAUGGUGGCAGAUUGAUAAAUCGCAUGCGUGAAAGCUGGGUGCCCCCUCCAAACCUCCGUAGUUUUGAUUCAUGGAGCAUCUCUUCUUCUUCGUCGUUCCUGAGACUUCCAAAGUGGGUUAAUUCAAGGUCGCUUCCCCACCUCUCCCGCCUGGAAAUAGAUGUGGAAGAACUGCAAGGGGAUGACAUUCAGAUCAUUGGGAUGCUGCCUGCUCUUCGGUUUCUGCGGCUGCGUGCAAGUCGCGUGAUGGGAAGGUUGGUUGUGAGGGCCGAUGCAUUCCCAUCUGCGAGAUGCUGCAUAUUCUGGGAGUUUCUGACGCCGCCGUGCCUUUUUCCACCUGGAGCCAUGCCAGGGGUUCGGCAUCUUGAGUUCCAGGUAUCUGCGCGGUCGAUCGCGAGUGGCGAGGUUGACUGCGGCCUGGGGCACCUCCCUUCUCUCGAGCAUCUUCAGGUUUCUCUGUGGCGUGAGAAUUCCAGCGAUGAAGAGAUGGAGACAGCCGAGGCUUGGCUGAGGCGGGCAGCAGAAGCCCAUCCAAAACGUCCCACCAUGAAAAUCUAUUAGACACGAGUGCUGAGUGCUGACAUGCCUCUGCCGCCGGUAAGGUACGGUAUACUCAUCUGAGCAACCAUGAAUUGUCGUUUUCCUGAAUAUGCUCAUUACCACAUUGUUUAAUCUAUCCUUCUUACUUUCCCAAUUUCAGGGCUUGAACAAAAUCCUGGAGUCAGGUACUGUAAUUCCAUCAGUUGCUGUGAAUGUUGUUCCAACAUUCCGAUAGGCAACAAACAAUUCUCUGUGCCGUCGCCCGUCGCAGUCACCAACAAUCACUGUACCACCGCAGCUCCCAAUAAAUGAAGGCUCAUUCCCUCCAACGUAUGUUCAGAUUCUGGCCUUUGCUAGACGGAGGCCUCCGCAUGAUUGUUCAUGACAAACUACUGUAUUUGCUAUUCUUUCUGCAUAUGCUUUCAGAAACUAUUUGUCAAGACUCGUACAAUAAAUGGCUGCCUCUACGUUUAUUUGAUUGUUCACAUACAGCAUCGUUUUGUUUCUACUGGCUUAUUAAUUAAGAGUUGAUUGAACUCAUGCUGGCUUGUUUUGCUUUGCUUGGCACUUGCUUAUUCAGUCAAGGCUCGUACAAUGAAAGGCAGUUUGUUCAACUCCUGUUGUAGCUCCAGAUUUGCUUCAUCCUAUUCGUUAAGCUUUCUCUUCUUGCUGCAACUCCUGCUUUCGAGCUCGUGAGAGAUAGAGCCACAAACGCUCAGAUGUUCAUAUUGUUCUUCAUGCCUCAAGGUUACAUACACAAGUGCAAAACUGAUGGCUACAUAAAACAUAAGAUAAAUUAUAAGUAGCAUUUUGUAUGCAAAAAGCCCACAAAAACAACCAACCACCGCUCACUCGCUCCUUUUUCGCAUAACAUCAACGCUCGCAAUUAUUGCCUCUCUUUCGGUUCCUGGAAAAUAUUUUCUUUCAAGAUUAUCAAUUGGACUAAGAAAAUCAAUUCAACGGUAGAUUAUCAAUUGGACUAGCAAAAUCGAUUGUCUGUAACUGACAACCAAUCUAAUGGUAUAAUUGAGCGAGCCGAGUAGUGGGUUGCUAACAGGAUUCCCAAGCUGGAAAUCUACAGAGAAAUAGACUUACCAUAUCCUCACCAAGGAAUGAGAUCGAGAACUGCUACAAACUGCUUUAGCUUCCUCAGAUAUUCUUCACAGAUGAUUGCCUCGGCUUGUUGCAAGCAAAUGUGAUUAGGUUUGUGGCGAUGGUGGAUGAUUACAACAAUUGGUCUACUAUUGUUGAGAGGUUCAUACUAAUAUUGUUGAGAGAUACUGCUGGAAAUAACUGCUGCAUAACUAGUGAUUAAAACAUAAGAAAUCUACAGCAAUUCUGUAUUGCAAAAACCUUGGCGCCCACAGCAGCCAACCAUAUAACUCGCGCGCUCUCCCUCUCGUUUUUUCAUUAGGCACAUACUUCCCAGAUAAUCAAAUUGAACUAAUGAAAUGAGUUAUAUAUAAAAAAAAUAUCACUAGAAACUUCUAAUGCAUAACUCUAAAAUACAUCUAUAUACAUCGAUAUGUAGUCCAUAUUGAAAUCUCUAGAAAGACUCAUAUUUAGAAACGGAGGAAGUAUUUCAAUCGGACUGACAAUCUAGAAAUGCACAAGAGCCUUAUAAACCCAGAGAAUAGGGCCACAGCUUCAAACAUUAACCACUAAAUCAUGGUCAGUCCGCGUUCAAACACAAUAGUCCAAUCACAGUCAGUCAGAGUUCAUUAACCAGGACAACAUUACAUAAUCCAUAAUCGACCACAAUGUAAAAAUCUCAUGACGGCCACAGAAAUUAGGCAGCCAUCGUUCACGGACUAUCGCAUCUUACAGAAAAUGCUGAAACAUCUUUAAGCAGAAGGAAAAAAAUUCCACAUAAAACAACAUACACAAGCACAAGAAUCCAUAGGCUACGCGGAAAUUUGACCACCACAGCUCUUGUCAUCUACCCUUAACACGCCAUCUCCUUUUGAUUCUCCGGGUGAGGCAAUUAUUUACAGCUAGCGACAUUUUAUGGCGGCAGGAGGACCGAAAACUUUCCAUAUGAAUGAAGCCGAUCAAAGGAACUCCAGC